rnacentral:rRNA from 1 species
AUGGCCGGCGGAGUCGGAGCGGCGGACCUGAGCCAGCAGACCCACGUGGACCCGCACUCGGAGACGUCGUUCCUCGACCACUGUCCUCGUCCGCGGCUGCGAUGGCAUGGCUUCCGGGAGAUGGUCUCGCUGCCGGUCCCCGACGAGCUCCUGGCCGAGAUCUUCCUCCUCCCAGGCCCAGCCGACCUCGCCCGCGCCUCCGUUUCCUUCCACUGCGUCGCUGCUGAACACUCCUUCCUCCGACGCUUCCGCAUGCUCCACGACCCGCCCCUCCUCGGCUUCCACCCCGCCGAGCCGCUCACCCCUCCGCGCCGGCAGCCAGCGCCGCUGGCCUCGCCGGCGACUUCUCCUUCAACUUCCUGCACGCCCCCUCCAGCUCCUGGGUCGUCCAGGACAGCCGCGACGGGCGCGUACUCCUUAUCCUUAAUAGAGGCCCCCAGGAGGUUUCCAUCUUAUUUUGCAAAGUACACUGAUAGAUGGUGCCAAGGAAAUGCUGGAAUAAAGCGUGGAGAGGGCAUUCGGAGCACUCUGAACCGGAGCAAGAGCAAGAAGCCGAACUAUUCCUCAUGGGUUAAGUACUUCCUCGACCGAGGAGACACGACCCCUGUAUUGCUAGAGCAUGGGGCGUUCUUGGCCAUGUGGUUGUCCGAGUACGUGCUCCCGUCGCCGCCGUGUGACGUGGUUCUGGCGCGGGUGCUCCCCAUCGCCGCCCAACUGGCACGCGGCCAGCCCAUGGCUCUGGCACCCGCGGUGCUUGCUAGCAUCUACAAGUGCUUGUCCACGCUCGCCGGGUGUGCCCCGCUCCAGAUCCUCCAGCUUUGGCUCUGGGAGCGGUUCCCGGAGCUUCGCCCGGAGAAGAAGGUGUCCGCCCACAACAAUGACAACGGCGUGCCGGCCAGGGCUGCACAGUGGCACAACGUCAGAGAGGUGCUCGAACCCAGGUACCUCCACGCUGUGUUCAUGUCACCAGAAAGAUUUGAGUGGAUGCCUUAUGGCAGCAGCAGCUUUGGCGUGCCACCCGGCAAUGGCGGCCGCCAGAUCCAUGGCCAGGACAGAGCAAGAAGUGACGAGUUGUUAUCCAUGGCACUAUGCCUGCACCCUUGCGAGCUGGUGGGCAUCGAUUGCAUCGAGCAGUACUGUCCGCACCGUGUCGCGCGGCAGCUGGGCUUCGAUCAGGACGUGCCCGGGGAUGUCUGUCGUGUCAACUCGGAUCCAGUGGCCGCGUGGUCAACCUAUAAGAUAGAGGCUAGAUCCUUUGCAUUCAUCUUUCCAAAUCGCAAUGCCGGCGUGACCGUUGAGUACGCGCGGUGGUGGGAGCCAUACUCGUCCGCAUGCGCAGCUCAUGUUGCUAAUGCUGCAAGGACAAAGAAGCUGGUUCAUCCGAGUAAAAGAAUGAUGCAAGGAGCUACUGUGGUUGAUCUGCAAUCAACAUCUGAAGACAUUGUGGCCAUCAACGAUAAUGACUCCCUCAAAGAAUCUAAAAAGGAUGUUGAGGUGGCCACGAUGCAUAUGGAAUCAUCCGAACCGGUGAACGAAAAUGUUGAGGUAGCCGAGAGAGUGGUUUGUGCUAGAACACUCUACUAUCUUAGGCCAUUUAAGCAGGCCAAAUAUGGCCAGGUGGGCGCAAGCAGGAGAAGUUUGGAUCAAGAUUUUUUUCAGCCAAAACGGGAAGUGGGGACGAUGGAAAUGAUUAAGCGAGCAUCUGAAGCUCGAGAGGCCGAGAAGAUUGAGUUGGAAAAACAGAUUCAUAGUCUGAAGAAACAGAUUUGGGGCUAA